rnacentral:lncRNA from 12 species
AUGCGAAAGAGGAUGUGGAGCCUUGGGGCCCCCAUCGCGUCUGACCCGGAGCGAGAUAGCAACUGGAGCGCCCCUCGGAGACUGCAGGAGCCUGCAUUCCUGAGCUCUCAAACACCCCUAUGGGCCACCACCUGGUGCUGCGGAAGAGUCCCUAGCAACAGCAGAGGCCUGUUGGAAAACUCUUUCUUCUACCUUCUGUGACCCUGGGACUUCUCCAUACCUCCUGCUCAGCCUAGGCCUGUCUCCAGAGGGUUGAACCUGUGUUCAUGGGUGAGAUGUGGAUGGCUGCUGACCUGGGCCUGCAUCUCCUUCAGGAGACUUGGGGUAUGGGGGCCACAGAGGCUAUGUGGACAGUGGGUAAGGCCUGGCAGGGGACCAGGGGUGCAGGGUGGUGACCCAGGAGCUUUGAGAUCACCAGCAUUCAGAACAGGCAGCCUUGGGAGGCAGGGAUAAAGAGCAUGGGCUCAGAGAAAGAGACACCAGCUCUGCCACCUGCCCCUUGUGUGACCCUGGGCCAGUGACUUGACCUCUCUGAGCCUUGUUUGCCGAAUUGUAGAGAAUCCCAUCUUUCACCAAAUGAAUUGACUGUAGGAGAAACACCAAACAAGUAUCUCAAUAGAUGCUAAGGAGGUAUUUAAUAAAAUCCAACAUCCAUUCCUAAUUUUAGAAAAA